rnacentral:rRNA from 1 species
GACGAACGCUGGCGGCGCGCCUAACACAUGCAAGUCGAACGGAGUCAAGAGGAGCUUGCUUUUCUUGACUUAGUGGCGAACGGGUGAGUAACGCGUGAGUAACCUGCCCUGGAGUGGGGGACAACAGUUGGAAACGACUGCUAAUACCGCAUAAGCCCACGGAUCUGCAUGGAUCUGCGGGAAAAGGAUUUAUUCGCUCUAGGAUGGACUCGCGCCCAAUUAGCUAGUUGGUGAGGUAACGGCCCACCAAGGCGACGAUUGGUAGCCGGACUGAGAGGUUGAACGGCCACAUUGGGACUGAGACACGACCCAGACUCCUACGGGAGGCAGCAGUGGGGGAUAUUGCACAAUGGGGGAAACCCUGAUGCAGCGACGCCGCGUGGAGGAAGAAGGUUUUCGGAUUGUAAACUCCUGUCGUUAGGGACGAUAAUGACGGUACCUAACAAGAAAGCACCAGCUAACUACGUG